GGGGGAGCGGUCUGGGUGGGUCCCAACACAAGGCCCCCCAGAGCCGAAAAGGCAGACCCGCCAAGGGUCAGCGCCCGCCCACCCCAUUCCACACCCCGCCUGGAGGCGGCAGCGAAGACCUCCUGGCCCCGGCGGCCCUGCUGGCGUCACCGCCUCGCCGGCCAACCCGCGCCGAGGUGGCGGGGCGAGUGGGGCUGCAGGGAGCGCCCACACCCACCCAGAGCGCAGCCCCCGCGUCGCAGGCAUGAGCGCGGCCGAGCCCCCGCCCGCGGCAGAGGCCCUCGAGCCCCCCCGGGCUCUCCGCGCGCUGCUCUUGGCCACCGGUGGCGCGGGGGGCUCCUGGCCGCGCUGCGUCCUGCCGUUCGGCGCCGUGGCUCUGCUAGCCGGCGCCGCCGCCACGGCCAUCACCUUCUCGCUGCGCGGACCCCGCCUGGACCUGGCCCAGGGCUCGGCGCUGGCGGCGCUCGGCGCGGGCCUCGGACUCCUGGCCGCAGCCUUCCUGUGCUGGCGCGCGCGGCGGCGGCGGCAGAGGGUCGGGCGCUGGGGGCGGCGGGAGUCGGGGGCGGCCUGAGCCCGCGCGCCAAGACCCCUCCCCUGCGAGGUCACGGCCAGCGGAGCGCCUCCUCCCUGCCGACCUCGCCUGGGCCCGGCUGCCGCAGUGCCGAGCGCGGCGCGGAAGCCUCCUCGCCAGACGCCUCCCCAAAGCGUUCCGUUCUGACCGGUCAGGAGGCCCGAACUCUGGGGGCUUCGAGCCACUUCCCUCCCUUCCCCCGACUCGGCUCUGCCCGUCUCGCACCCGUCUCCGCCCAGCGCUGCUUUUCAGCGUCUCGCUUGGCGCGCAGAGCGGGCCUGGCUGAGCGCGGGGCUGGCGGCGGUCGGCGCGGCCCGCGGGCGCAAGGCGGUGGCAGGCCGGGGACUCGGCGUGGCCACCCACCUCCGGGCGAGGCACAGUGUGCUGUGUCCCCCUCCCCUAACUGUCUUUCUACCCCGCUGGUGUGGAAGCCCCUCGGGGCAAAAUAG
rnacentral:lncRNA from 1 species